rnacentral:lncRNA from 1 species
AUGUUACCUUCGACGACUAAGGAUUUAUUUAGAUUACAAACCAUUCCCAAGGGGCAAAUCUGCUCUGAAACAAGGAAGGGGACAUCUAGAAAGCAAUCAAUGGCAAGCUCUCUCCCCUGCUGCUUCAUUCUCUCUGCCCAGUUCCAGAGUGAUCUCCAGCCCAGGAGGGGAAAGCUGUUGCUGCCUCCGAAGCAGAAGGGUACAAAGUCCAGCCCCAGCCUUGCCCGAUUUGCCCCGCCUGCUCAUGCAGGGACAUUAAUAGGUAAUGACUCUUGUGACGAGGAAGAGCAGGGCGUGGAAGCGGGCCUGAGGCCCUUUGGAGUCCAUAGGAUGGGAGGAAGAGGAACAAGGGCUAACCCAGGGGCUGAGUCAGACCCCAGAGAUAAUUCUCUCAAAGAGGCAAACAGAAGUACCCCAUUGGGAGAAGACAAAAGAAGACCCCCUUAUUUUCUGCCCUGGGGCUGUGUUGGUGAACGCUGUCUCAGACUCCCCUUGUUGUUCGCCAGCCCUUAACCUCCUGCUUGAACUUCCGGUUAUCUCUCCACCCUGGGAGCCCAAGACCUCAUUUUCAGAAGACUUCCGCCAGUAAGAACUGCCCCCUUUGUGUCCCCGCCAAACCUUGAGCCUGACACUCAGCACCCAGCUGUGGGUAGUUAUUAGUGUAGGGACUGCCUCCCACCCGCAUGACCAGCAAUUUGAGGGCACAGACUAAGUCUGGCACAGAGUGAGCAUUUCUUUAAUGGACAAAUGACCACCAGCCUCUAGCCCCAAGCCCCUGGCCCUUAGUCCCUGUGGCCUCCAUACUGCCUGGCUCCUUGGGCUCCUCUCGGCCUCUCUGUGGCUAGAGAGAGGCUAAGCACCCUGGCCUUGACUUCCUGAGCUCUGCCCCCUCGGACCUGGGAAGGGUGUUGGCUUGGUCUAAAGACACUGCCCCUCUGUGAGGGCCUCUAGCCACACAGUCACCUGUCCCUCAGGCAGGGCCUGUGGGCAGCUCCAGAUACCCCUGGCUUCUCUCUUGGGCUCUGAGGCCUCCUCAGGCCUGGCAGGGAGGUCUGCUGGGCAUCUUCAGAUGGUGCUCUUUGGCCUCAGGGCCUCGGUGACUCCAGUAUAGCUCUGAAAACAGUUCUCAAAAGCCGAGGUGAAAUCCAGUAACUUUCAGUGAUGGUCUCUGGGGAUUUAGGACCACCAAUGAGGCCCCUCACUGGGACACACUGGGGCUGGGGAGGGCCUGAAGGAUCUAGCUGACUCCUGGAUCCUCCUCCCUUCCUCUCACUGCCCCCUGGCCAGCACAGUUCCUCAGCUGCUUCUGGGGCUCUAAGAAAUGCCCUGAAGUGGGGAGAGGGCUGCCUGAAGUGCCUCCAACUCGCAUUUUGAGGUCAGAGGACACACAGAGAGAGACAUCCAGUUCCCUUCCUAUCAACACACCUCUCAGACACUGCCCCAGACCCCUCCUACACAAUGCAACAGCCCAGAGCUGGGGGACACCAGGAGGGAGAGGGGUGUGCCCUCUUUG